GGAUAGAGGCCUACCAUGGUGGUAACGGGUAACGGGGUGUUAGGGCACGACACCGGAGAGGGAGCCUGAGAAACGGCUACCACAUCCAAGGAUGGCAGCAGGCGCGCAAAUUACCCAAUCCCGACACGGGGAGGUAGUGACAAUAAAUAACAAUACGGGGUUCUUUCGGAUCUCGUAAUUGGAAUGAGUACAAUUUAAAUCUCUUAACGAGGAACAAUUGGAGGGCAAGUCUGGUGCCAGCAGCCGCGGUAAUUCCAGCUCCAAUAGCGUAUAUUAAAGUUGUUGCAGUUAAAAAGCUCGUAGUUGAAUUUCGGGGUUAGUAGGUUGGUCAUGCCUCUGGUAUGUACUGGUCUCACUGAUUCCUCCUUCCUUAUGAACCGUAAUGCCAUUAAUUUGGUGUUGCGGGGAAUUUGGACUGUUACUUUGAAAAAAUUAGAGUGUUUAAAGCAAGCUAACGCUUGAAUACAUUAGCAUGGAAUAAUGAAAUAGGACGUUCGAUCUUAUUUUGUUGGUUUCUAGGAUUGACGUAAUGAUUAAUAGGGAUAGUUGGGGGCAUCAGUAUUCAAUUGUCAGAGGUGAAAUUCUUGGAUUUAUUGAAGACUAACUACUGCGAAAGCAUUUGCCAAGGAUGUUUUCAUUAAUCAAGAACGAAAGUUAGGGGAUCGAAGACGAUCAGAUACCGUCGUAGUCUUAACCAUAAACUAUGCCGACUAGGGAUCGGAUGA
rnacentral:rRNA from 1 species